CCAGCUCAGAGUUCCAGCGCUCAGAUUUAAAAACAUGGCGGACGGAGCCGGCCUGCCACGGAGUUUCUGUACAAAUGGAUGAACGUGGGCCGGGGAAGGUGAACGCUGGUCAGACCGGCUGGAGGCAGCGUUAGCUCCCUUUAUGAAUAUAUAUUUUUUUCUUUGAAUGUAAUAAAGUUUUCUCUCUUAACAUUA